rnacentral:sRNA from 1 species
AUGGCUGUCGUCAGCUCGUGUCGUGAGAUGUUGGGUUAAGUCCCGCAACGAGCGCAACCCUUGUCCUAUGUUGCCAGCGGGUAAUGCCGGGGACUCGUAGGAGACUGCCGGGGUCAACUCGGAGGAAGGUGGGGACGACGUCAAGUCAUCAUGCCCCUUAUAUCCAGGGCUGCAAACAUGCUACAAUGGCCGGUACAAAGGGCUGCGAGACCGCGAGGUUGAGCGAAUCCCAGAAAGCCGGUCUCAGUUCGGAUUGGAGUCUGCAACUCGACUCCAUGAAGUCGGAGUCGCUAGUAAUCCCGGAUCAGCAACGCCGGGGUGAAUACGUUCCCGGGCCUUGUACACACCGCCCGUCACACCACGAAAGUUGGUAACACCCGAAGCCAGUGGCCCAACCCUUUGGGAGGGAGCUGUCGAAGGUGGGAUCAGCGAUUGGGGUGAAGUCGUAACAAGGUAGCCGUACCGGAAGGUGCGGCUGGAUCACCUCCUUUCUAAGGAGUCACAAACCUCCGCUUAUGGAGGCGACUCCCAGUUGGAGUGCUAGUUGAGUCGUCGAGGCAUCUGUUCGGUAGAGGUUCAUCCUCCCGCUCAGCUCUGGCUCGCCGGCUCUGUCGUCUCUUCCGCUUUGAGGGAGCGUCCCGUGGCCCCCGCACUCGUGCCAACGAGGCGGGGGCUUCGUCAUGCUCCCACGGCAUCGGAACCUUCGGGCUCCGAUGGCCACUGCCCUUUGAGAACUGCAUAGCGAGCACGAGCAUCUUUGUUCUUCCAAGCUACAAAGAGCCAACGGUGAAUGCCUUGGCGCCUACUACCGAUGAAGGACGUGAGAGGCUGCGAAAAGCCACGGGGAGCUGCCUACUAAGCUUUGAUCCGUGGAUAUCCGAAUGGGGAAACCCGG